UAGGGGGGAUAAGGGCAAUACAAUAGGAGGGUGAUGAAUGAAGGAUGAGAUAGAGUGGAGAUGAGAAGGGGGGUUAAUAUAGAGGGGGGUAACGGACAAUGUUUGUACCAGAGGACCCUUCGCCAGAGGUCCGGAAGGGCAUCACGGGUGUCUUCCGGUCCGAAUCUCCAGACAGCAGGCAGCGUUUGUUGUUACAGCCAGGCGAGAAGCUGUAGGGCGGUAGUGCAUGCCAGGUGAUCAGGAAGGAGAGUCCAGCAUGUCUGCACAGUAUAGAUUGCGGGGGGGGAUGUUCCCCGCUAGACAGUCUCUCUAAGUGGUAACCUGUCAAGGGGCAUUGUGCAGGAGGCAUGAGGCAAUGGUAGUAGGUGGUGGAGGACAGGGCACAGUUAAUGUUUGCACCCACGGAGCGUCAGUACACAGCCAGAAAGCCAAGUCACUCUCACUCUGUGGCCACACGGCUGUAGGCAGUCAAAGGCAGGAACAAUUGUAGAGAGUGAAGCGAAUAAGGCCGGGGGGUCGCGGCUCUUGGCCCCGUUAGUUCCAAGGUAGCAGCUCCAGGUGAGCAAUCAGAGCGUCAUAGAUUCCAGCCGGGCGCAGAGCAGCCGCAGCGAAUGGGGAUAGGAAGGCGGCCGGCUUCUUAGCACGGAGGAGAAGCCGCGGUGGAUAGACGAUCGUCACUGCUUCACGUUCCCCGCUCGGCACCCGCAGCUCCGGCAUUCAGAUCUUUAUCUAUUGGAUGCAAUUCCGUAGUUACUGGCAAAGCUGAUUAUCAACAUUGCCCGGCUGGUAUAUAGACAGUAACUAGAGAAAACCCCGAAGGUAGAGGCGUUCCAGUCCCUGCCUAAUCUGAAUCACUGGUACAAUACAACAUAUGGUGUCUGAAUAUACAGCGACAGUAUCGAAUAUCCUCAUGAUGUGUAUAGAGAAUAUAAAGCGAUGACACUGACUGCAGAUAAUCUGCUCAUUAUAUCGAUAUGCAGUGCCGUCUGUGCUAUAGCACUCAUUGCAUUCAUUCUAUACAUUUUCAUUCGGUGCCGGAAAAUGUGUAGAAUAGCGGCCGACAUAGAAUCUGCAUUUGCACUUAAGAAAGAUCAAAUGGCAGCACCAUUACCCUCAACCCUACCACCCCCACCCACCUCACUAUCCAUCCCACCUUCAACUUCAUCCCCACUAUCCACACCCUCAGCAUCCCCACUAACCACACCCACAGCAUCCCCUCUCCCCACACCCCGAGCAUCCCCUCUACCCACACCCCCAGUAUCCCCUCUACCCACAUCCCCACUACCCUCUCUCCAACCCGAAUAUGCUUAUCUCAACUGCUCCCCUUCUUCCUACCCCUUAUGCCUUUAUGCAGCUCAGCCCUUUCACUAUAGCCCUUUCCCCUGCCUCAUUAUGUCAGUUAUAUCAGACAUAUAAGCGUAAGGGUUUACCCUUCCCCACUCCCAAACCCCUCCCCAUCACCACCACCUUGUGUGUCGUGUCUGUCUCCUUCCCAUAGAUGUUGACCAACAUCAACAGCUACAAGCUGUCUCCAAACUCCUCACCAUUACCAACACCACCGCUACCUGUUCAAACACCACAGGAGAGAAUAACAGCUAGCAUGAAGACAAUGGCAACAGGCCAAAAGAGCAAAUGCCUGCUGUCAAGAGUUACUGGGCAAUUAAGUUCUGCACUAAGUGGCCUCGAUGUUCCUUGUGGCACAAGCAAGAUGGAGAAAAACAGCCACGUGCUUCUCAUCCUGCAGCCUCUGUUAAUGGCUCCACCCACAAAACUGUAUUUAUUUAUUGAAUGGAUGAUGGCAAUACAAACACUGGUCAUAUAUCCAAUAAUUGGCAGAGAUAAUCCAAUCAUUCCACAGUGCAGAAAGCAGGAAAGAAAAUGAGGAGUAGAUGGAGACACCCCCUCACAGAGUACAGCAACACCAGAAUUUUUAUUUCUAAAUAAAACUAAGUGAAAUGUU